GAUGAACGCUAGCGGGAGGCUUAAUACAUGCAAGUCGAGGGGUAACAGGGGACUUCGGUCCCGCUGACGACCGGCGCACGGGUGAGUAACGCGUACACAAUCUACCUUUAACAGGGGAAUAGCCUCGGGAAACUGAGAUUAAUACCCCAUAGUUCCUAAAAACGGCAUCGUUUUAAGGAUAAAGUUCCGGCGGUUAAAGAUGAGUGUGCGUCCUAUUAGCUAGUUGGUGAGGUAACGGCUCACCAAGGCGACGAUAGGUAGGGGGCGUGAGAGCGUGACCCCCCACACGGGUACUGAGACACGGACCCGACUCCUACGGGAGGCAGCAGUAAGGAAUAUUGGACAAUGGUCGAAAGACUGAUCCAGCCAUCCCGCGUGCAGGAAGACGGCCCUAUGGGUUGUAAACUGCUUUUAUUUGGGAAGAAUAGCACCGAUUUAUCGGUGUGUGACGGUACCUUAUGAAUAAGCACCGGCUAACUCCG
rnacentral:rRNA from 1 species